GUCAAAACCUGCUGAUACCUAACAGAGUCAACUCCAAGUUUGUGUAUCCUGGUCCACUCUACCUUUCCAUCAGGCAGUACAUGUGGAAAUAGAAAAGCAGCUCUCUAAUUAAUCAAAGUCAGAUGUGCCUGAACGCCUGGAGUUGCUGCUGAUCCUUGUCCCAGCUUCUCCCAUGUUCUCGCUCUAUGUUUUUACCUUGAAAACUUCUGCUCUGAGCUGGGAAUGCCUGAAGGGCUUGCACGUGAAGAAAAGGAAAAGGAAAUCAAAUAAGAAGACACAGAGGAGAAGGGAAAGAAAGAUUCUUCAUUGUAGCUCUCCAGCAUGGUGGACUUAAGGGGCAUCUUCCAACCUGACUGUGGCUCAGACCAUGAACUCCUUAUUGCCAAAUUCAGACUUAAAUUGAAGAAAGUAGGGAAAACCACUAGACCAUUCAGGUAUGACCUAAAUUAAAUCCCUUAUCAUUAUACAGUGGAAGUGAGAAAUAGAUUUAAGGGCCUAGAUCUGAUAGAUAGAGUGCCUGAUGAACUAUGGAAUGAGGUUCGUGACAUUGUACAGGAGA
ensembl:lncRNA